rnacentral:lncRNA from 1 species
UAAGUAUUGGUUUUGGUCUAAACGAUUUGUCUACAUAAGGAAAACUACUUCGUAUUUUAUAACAUGUUCAGUGUAUUUGAUUGUGUCUAGUUCUUAUUCAAAAGAAACUAACCCUAUCAAAAAGGUAAUGAGCCUGAUGUUUGAAAUUAUGAACCAUUUCUUCAAAAGGAAAUUCAAGGACAGGGCAGCUGAAAUCCAUUUUUUACGUAAUUUUAAUUUUUCCAAUUUUCAGAGUAAGCAUAGACCAAGGGACGUAAAUAGUCUUAGAAACAUUGAAUAUGACAUUUGAAUUAUACUCAAGAG